rnacentral:lncRNA from 1 species
UAACAACACAUUAUCCUUAUUAGGCGUGGUAGCGAUAUUGGUUUUUCUUCUAUACAUGCAAUUGGUGGGGGCGACGGGGUCGGUCGCGCCAACCCCGACACCAGCACCAACGCCAGCCGAAGAUGUAGUAGACAUUAGUGACGACGUUAAACAUGGCUCGGUGUCCUUAACUGAUUGUAAGCAAGAAUGUAUGGCCAUAUGCAUGAAAAUCAAAUACGCACAAGAUUCACUUUGUCGUGAUGCAUGCAAGCCAGCAUGUAAACAAUUGCAAGGCAAAGCUUCUUUAGUUUUUGGAGAUACAGAUUAAGAACUGAAAGUACAUACACACACGUAUAUAUAUAUUCCCAUGAAUUACAUGUAUUUCUUAUUUUGGUUUCCCCAUCAUUUCUAUUGUAAAUUAUAUAGUGGAUUUUUUUUUAUCGCUUCUUUUAC